AUUGGGAUAGCUGGGUCAUAUGGUAGUUCCAUUCCUGAUUUUCUAAGGAAUCUCCAUACUGCUUUUUAAAGUGGUUGCACCAAUUUGCAGUCCCACCAGCAAU
rnacentral:pre_miRNA from 1 species